rnacentral:rRNA from 1 species
GAUGAACGCUGGCGGCGUGCCUAAUACAUGCAAGUCGAGCGAACGGACGAGAAGCUUGCUUCUCUGAUGUUAGCGGCGGACGGGUGAGUAACACGUGGAUAACCUACCUAUAAGACUGGGAUAACUUCGGGAAACCGGAGCUAAUACCGGAUAAUAUUUUGAACCGCAUGGUUCAAAAGUGAAAGACGGUCUUGCUGUCACUUAUAGAUGGAUCCGCGCUGCAUUAGCUAGUUGGUAAGGUAACGGCUUACCAAGGCAACGAUGCAUAGCCGACCUGAGAGGGUGAUCGGCCACACUGGAACUGGGACACGGUCCAGACUCCUACGGGAGGCAGCGGUAGGGAAUCUUCCGCAAUGGGCGAAAGCCUGACGGAGCAACGCCGCGUGAGUGAUGAAGGUCUUCGGAUCGUAAAACUCUGUUAUUAGGGAAGAACAUAUGUGUAAGUAACUGUGCACAUCUUGACGGUACCUAAUCAGAAAGCCACGGCUAACUACGUG